GCGGCCGGGCGGGCGGGCGGGUGGUCCGGGCGGCGGAGGGGCGCUGCGGGCCCGCGGGGCUCCGGGUGGGGCGGGGGCGCAGGGCGCCGCCUCACCCCCACGGAUCUGCCCGGCCGGGCCCUGCAGCCACAGGGGCGGGCGAGCAAUCCCUGCGCUGCGGCGCGUGUGGGCGGUAAGACACGUCGGGAACCUAAAGCCGGUCCUCCCGUUGGGCUGGUUGGCUCGGGGAAGGCGCCCACCUCCUCCACCUACUCUCUACCUCUCAUUUUAAGCCCCUUGUGCUGAACAUUUCUCUCCAUGUGACUCCAGGUGCACGUGGCCUCCUGUAUCUUGGGCAUCAUCGUGAUGGCGACCGCCAACUCUCUGAUGUGGACAUUCUUCAGCCGCGGCCUCAGUUUCUCCAUGUCGUCGGCCAUUGCCUCUGUCACGGUGACUUUUUCGAACAUCCUCAGCUCGGUUCCUGUGGCUUUUGCAUCUCCCCCUCGUGACUGUGACUCUAGGUGCUGCCCACACGCUCCCGUGCAUGGCCGAUCUGACGCUCACCUGCUCCCGGUCCUCGGGGCUCCGGGAGGUCUGAGCCCUCAGCUCGCCUGAACCCGGCCCCUGGCCCCGGCUCCUCCAGCAUUCCCUGCGUAGAAAGGGACCUGGGACCAGAAGGCUGGGGAAGGGAAGGGCCAUGUCCAGGCGGUCCCCCUCUCUGUGCCAUAGCGCCUUCACUGCCCUCCAGUUCUCACUGCCGACAGUGGGCCUUUCUACAGCUCCCGUGGCUCCUGCUGACUGGGACCUGGCCCUCGCCCGCCUCUCCCCAGCUCCUCUCUUGCUGCCUCCUUAACACCCCGGGUUGAGCCUGGCACUCCUGUGUUGAGAAGUCAGGGAGACGAGUGAGCAGACAGCCGUGAGGUAGGAUAACCAGGCACGUGUGGCGUCCUGGGGGCAUCACUCCAGAAAAAGGCAGCGAUCGCCCAGGCUGAUGCUGAGGGAGGGGAAGGGGAAGACGGAGAAGAGGCCUUUGGACUCGGACAGAGAGCAUUACAGGAGCAGCUUGGAGGAGGGUGGGGCCACAGCCUGAGCAGAUCAGGCUCAUGAGGGAAUGGCGGGUCCUCCACUGAAGCCGAAAAAAUGCUGGGAGUGGAAGAAAACUGAGUCUGACCGAGGCCGCCACAGUGACUCACCCCUGAGGUCAGGGAUGGACAUGCCCGCUCUCAGCACUCCCCUCCGCAUGUGACCAAGCUCUCCCAGAGCACGUGGUCAGGAAAGGGAAGGACGAAGUUAUCUAAUCAGAGAUGACGUGAUCUUGUAGGUAGCCUGUGCUAGAGGAGGGGCUGCCCCAUUCUCAGGAGCCUUGGGGGGCCCGGGGAGGGAGACCCCGAGUCGUCCUGGCAGGAGGUGCCUCCCUGUGCCAACCGCAAGCUGUUCCUCUGUCCUCGGACUUGCUCAGAUGAUCCAUGUGCGUUAAUUAAACGGUUGCUUCAAUGA